rnacentral:rRNA from 1 species
AGGACGAACGCUGGCGGCGUGCCUAAUACAUGCAAGUCGAACGGUCUUUCUAUGGAAGCUUGCUUCCACUGAGAAGAUAGUGGCGAACGGGUGAGUAACACGUGGGUAACCUGCCCAUAAGAGGGGGAUAACAUCCGGAAACGGGUGCUAAUACCGCAUAGUUUUCUUGAUCGCAUGAUCGGGAAAGGAAAGACGGCCUUUGUGCUGUCGCUUAUGGAUGGACCCGCGGCGUAUUAGUUAGUUGGUGAGGUAACGGCUCACCAAGACGAUGAUACGUAGCCGACCUGAGAGGGUGAUCGGCCACAUUGGGACUGAGACACGGCCCAAACUCCUACGGGAGGCAGCAGUAGGGAAUCUUCCGCAAUGGACGAAAGUCUGACGGAGCAACGCCGCGUGAGUGAAGAAGGUUUUUCCGGAUCGUAAAACUCUGUUGUCAGAGAAGAACAAGUUGGAGAGUAACUGCUCCAGCCUUGACGGUAUCUGACCAGAAAGCCACGGCUAACUACGUGCCAGCCGCAGC